ACAUAAGAAUUUUCAUGGGUAUAUAUUUGUUUUAAUUUUAAUUAAUUACUACUAGUAAUUCUUUUUCGAAUUUUUAACAGUUAACUUGAUUGCUUCAACAAUAAAUUUCGAUUCAUCAUCUUUAUUAUUUUUUUCUUCUUGAUUAAUGGGAUUUUAAAAAGAUUUUCGGGUUUUAAAUUUGCUGGUAAUUUUGUAAACUUGCUUUUUUGGGUUUAAGCUGUGAAAAGAAACUAGGUUGAACAGGUAAAACCUAAAGAAAAUUAGAAAGUUAAUAAGAAGAAGGGGGUGUAAAUGUUGGGGAAAUGAAUAAAAAUGAGAAGUUUUUUAUUGUACUGGCUUAUUUGAUGUGAAUUUCACUUUUUUCUUUCAUUUUGGGAAUUAUUCUAUUUUAGGGAUUUUGAUUGUUACUAAAUUACAUUGAAAUUUUCAGCCGAAAGGUUUUAUGGUAUUACGGGUAAUUUUUGGGUUUCGGCAGUUUGUAUUGAUAGGGUUUUGAGAGUUAAGAAUGGGGAUUCAAACUAUGGGAUCCCAAAGCAAUGGACAACAGUCUCUUUUACAGCCAUCGCCAUUGGUGAGGCAGAAUUCAUGGUAUAGUCUUACUCUUAAUGAAGUUGAAAACCAAUUAGGGAACUUGGGGAAGCCUUUAGGUAGUAUGAACCUUGAUGAGCUUCUUGAUAAUGUAUGGAGUACCGAGUUGAAUCCACCGUUAGGGAUGAAUAAUACCGAAAGCAUUUCGUCAUCUUCUUCAUCUCUUCAACGUCAAGCUAGCUUAACCUUGGCUAGAGCUUUGAGUGGUAAGACGGUAGAUCAAGUGUGGAGUGAGAUACAACAAGGUCAAAAGAGGAGGUACGGUGAGGGGAUCAAGGAUCAAGAAAGAGAAGCAACGCUCGGUGAAACCACAUUGGAGGAUUUUUUGGUACAAGCAGGGCUUUUUGUUGCCGAAACAUCAUUGGAUCCUACAAUGGAAUUUGAUAAUACCCGUCAGCAAAGUUUGCCACACCAGUUCGGAUUGUCACCUACACCAUCUAUUGGUACAUUAUCUGAUACACCUAUGACGAGGCAGAAACGAGAUGUAUUUCAGAAGAGUAUUGAGAGUAGUUUGCCACAGCAAUUUGGGUUGUCACCUACCCCGUCUAUUGGCACGUUAUCGGAUACACCUAUGACAGGACGGAAAAGAGAUGCUCAAGAUGCAUUUGAGAAGAGUAUUGAGAGGAGGUUAAGGAGAAAGAUCAAGAACAGGGAAUCCGCUGCACGAUCACGAGCUAGGAAGCAGGCAUGGUCUUUUGGUUUUUGCAUAGGCUUACCACAAUGAGCUGGUUAACAAGGUUUCACGAUUAGAAGAGGAUAAUCUAAAGCUCAAAAGAGAGAAGGAAUUUGAUACAAAAUCUCAGUGUGAAACAUCUGAAACAAGGUAUCAGCUUAGAAGAACAAGUUCCGCCUCUUUUUAACUCAUGUUUUCCGCUGUUUUAAGCUCUCCAGUUGGCUUGUUGACGGAGCUUCGUUGUGAAUUCGUUCCAAGGGUUUGGUAUUCUGUACAUUUAUGAUGAUCAUAUGUGUUGGUUUUUACCUUCCUCCGCAAAACUGCCAUGUUUAUAUGUGUUAGGUUAUAUUUAUUCGGCUGAACGACAAGUAAAUCGGUGUUGAUUAGGCUAUAAUCCUACCUUUAAAGUAGAAAAAGCUUGGGGAAAAAGAAAUGUUGUGCAAACAUUGACUAUGGGAAUGCAAUAAUAUUUGCUUUAAA